rnacentral:lncRNA from 1 species
UGAGGUGUGUUCCACAUAUUAGAGUUUUAUUUGUCUUGGGUUUCGUUACAUCAAACCGUUAAGGCAGAGGACAAACCGGUCAGUCAAACCGUUAAGGCAGAGGACAAACCGGUCAGUCAAACCGUUAAGGCAGAGGACAAACCGGUCAGUCAAACCGUUAAGGCAGAGGACAACCCGGUCAGUCAAACCGUUAAGGCAGAGGACAAACCGGUCAGUCAAACCGUUAAGGCAGAGGACAAACCGGUCAGUCAAACCGUUAAGGCAGAGAAGGGAAACAGUCAGUCAAACCCGUUAAGGCAGAGGACAAACCGGUCAGUCAAACCGUUAAGGCAGAGGACAAACCGGUCAGUCAAACCGUUAAGGCAGAGGACAAACCGGUCAGUCAAACCGUUAAGGCAGAGGACAAACCGGUCAGUCAAACCGUUAAGGCAGAGAAGGAAACAGUCAGUCAAACCGUUAAGACAGAGAACAAACCGGUCAGUCAAACCGUUAAGGCAGAGGACAAACCGGUCAGUCAAACCGUUAAGGCAGAGGACAAACCGGUCAGUCAAACCGUUAAGGCAGAGAAGGGAAACAGUCAGUUUUGCAGGUCAGCGGUCAAGUUUUCAAGAUAAAGGAUGAUGAUGUGGUAGAUUGACAUCUCUUCUUGAAUUUCCUUCAUCUUGACAAGCCGACCUGCGACACAUUCUGGGAUUGUAACAACAGUGGACUCACGGAAAAAAAAAAAGCAGAAUAGUUUGAGUUGGGUUUUUUUUUUUGUUCUUCCCUACAAAACGUUGAGAAAAGGAGAUGGGAAGUUUAUUCAACAGGGUGCAACAGCAGAGGGGGAAAAAGGCAAUCCAGCAGUGAGAACCAUCGGACCCCCGGUCUUCUAAAGUUCCUCCAGACCAGGCAUGGGGAACCUCCCCGAAAGCUUCCACCUCGCCCCUCAGCUCUGCUACCCGUUCCUGGUGCUUCGCCUCCCCUGCAAGGGCCUCCUUAAACUCCUUCAGGGUGGCCUUGGGCUGCAGAGAUGCCUGGACGUCCAGGGGUAAUCUGGAUACCUGUAGGGAGAACGAGGGGUUGAGAGGUCAGGGGUUAGAGGUGGCCUUGGGCUGCAGAGAGGCCUGGACGUCCAGGGUAAUCUGGAUACCUGUAGGGAGAACGAGGGGUUGAGAGGUCAGGGGUUAGAGGUGGCCUUGGGCUGCAGAGAGGCCUGGACGUCCAGGGUAAUCUGGAUAACCUGUAGGGAGAACGAGGGGUUGAGAGGUCAGGGGUUAGAGGUGGCC